CCCUGCAAGGAGGCCGAGACGUGAAAUGAGGCUCCUGGAGCGGGUGUGUUUGAGACAUGCAACAAUUUGCAAAGGGUAGACAUGGCAGAGGAAGAAUUUCCAUCAGAGAAAAAGAAAACCAGGAGAAGACUGUGCAUCUGCAUAAAUGUCUUUGAAGAAGAGCAUUCCUCCAGGCCUCUAGAAGGGAAGCAAUGGCUUCAGGACAGAGUUGAAUUAAUUGCCCACUAAAUUAUGUUUGCCUACUUACUGUUGCAAUUAUAAGAGAGGCUGUAAAGAGUGUGGGCUGAGGUGGACGGUACCACUGGACUCUAACUCAGAUCUGAGUAACCCUGGACAACUUAUUUAAGCUCUCCAGGCCUCCGCUACCUCCUCUACAAGAUGAAGGAAUUAAAAAAUUGUCCUAAGUAUUAAACGGGAUAAUGCAUGUAGAGUGCAGAGGCUAGAGGUCAGCAGAUUGUAAGCACUCAAAAAUGGUAGCUAUUGGUACACAAAGUGCUGAUUAUUCACUAAAAUCCCAUUUUCUACAGACGAUCACAUUAUAUUCUGUCAUGCAACCUACUUC
rnacentral:lncRNA from 1 species